UCCCCACUACCUUUAGGACCAAGGCUAUGAAAGAAGAGUGAAUUGCCUGACGGGGACAAGAAUCAUGAUCAAAACUAUCCAUUAAGUUCAUCAACUCAUCCUUGAUUAACGACCAAGCCUUUUUAUAGGAGAAAAAAUUUGCCCCGUCUAGACCAGGGGCUUUGCCUGAGUCAUAACUCCACACCAAGUUCUUUAUUUCUUCCAGAGAGAAUAGCAACUCGAG
rnacentral:misc_RNA from 1 species